AAAUUUUAGGAUGUUAUAAUUUAAAUUCUUAAGUUUUAAAAAUGCAUCGAAUUGAGCUUUUUAUUUUUAAUGUGGUGCAUAAUAAUUUAAUUAUUAGCAAAUUUUCAAUAUUUCAGUAUGCUUCAUAAAUUGUUAAGGUGCAAAACAUCCAAUUUACUUUAUAUACCAUAACCAGCAAGUGUAUUGGUAGUUUAAUUCAAUGCAUAUCAAACGAAAAAUAAAGAGCUUAAUGUAAUGAAUUUUAGUAAUAAAAAAAAAUAGUUAAGUUUUUUAAGUCGAUAAUUUAGAUUGAAACGUUCUAAAAUUAGAGGAUAUUAAAAUAGGAUUUUUUUUUUCUCUAUUUUUUUGAUUAAUGCUAUUUUCCUCCAACCACAAUUGUUGUAAUAAAUUAACAUGGAUUAUUUUAUUAUGAUAAUUCUUUAUAAAAAAAGGUAUUAAGGAAUGUGUUAAUUCUGUUUCAAUUUUUAGAAUUACCGAUAAUAUUGACAUGGAUUAAAUGUUGUUAAAAUAAAAUAAUAAAACAAUAUUGAUUGUUAUCUAUUACUCUUUUUUUUUAAUUUUUAAUUUUUAUGCCCAUUUUAUCUAUUUAAACCCAAACUUUGCCGCGAGCCACUAAUUCCCGCCCACAUGUCAAACACAGUUGCUCAGCAAAUUUCCCUCUUCCGCUCCUACAUUCUCAACAGAAGAUUGGACGCUGCGACGCUGAGAUUUCUCGAUUCAAUUUUGGUUUCCAAAGACGUGAAAUCGUCAAUAGAAGUCCGUUCGAGCUUGCGAGAGUUUAUGAGAUCUGAAUCUCUCUCAGUUUUACGUGAAAUCGCAGAGAAAGCUGUGGAUCAGAAGCUUCUUGUUGUCGAAUUUCUCAUCCGAGCUUUUGCUCUUAUAGGAGAUGUUGAGAGUUGCUUGGCUUUGAAAUAUGAAGGCUUGCUUUUGCGGGAACUCAAGUCCACUAGUUACCAAUGGCUACAGGUUUCAUAUAUGGAAUGGUUGAACUUCGCUGAGCAGUCUCUAGAUAAUGGUUUCCAUUCCAUUGCUGGAAAGGGAUGUGAAAAAGCACUGUUAUGCCUGCAGAGGAAUUCUAUGGCAGAUCCCAAGACAUCUGAGUUCUUCGAAAAUUUACAAGCUAUUGAAAAGAUAAAGAGACUCAAGGACUGUGCCAUAAAAUCAGCUGCUUCAAACUCUGUUCAGGCGCAAACCACGGAGUACUUGAAAAGUAAACGGAUGGAUGGAAAAAAUGGACCUUGUUCUGUUAGCAAAGGGACACAACCUAUAGCAAGCACGUUAUUCCGGAAUGGGAUCAAGAAGAGGAAUCUCCGAAAAUUGCAUGAAGUCCAAAGCAUGUAGGAUUGACCGAUGAACCAUACCCCAGUCAAAUUUGAGGAGGUCAUCGUCUUCCUUUGUCCAUUGAGUCUAUUAAAUAAGCUCUGAGCAGGCUUUGUGAACCUUUGCGUAUUUGUUUAAUGCAGAUUAACACCAUGAGGGACACUUUUGACACAUCGCACCUGCCUCUAGGCGUGCCAGAGACAAAAUCGUUCGCUAUAAUUGGUUUGUCCUCUCCCAUUACGAGAUUAUGUAAAUGAAACAAUUUUUAGCUCGUUAACAAGCAGUGAUCCUGUGUCUCUGUCCGUUUGAAAUUCAUAGCUUUUGGCCUAUGCAAGUAAGAAUUUUUUCUUUUCCAAGCAUGUCCAGAGCCUGCUCAAUUAUUGGGUUCAACUCCAAGCACUUUAAUGUACAUUUUUGUAAGAAACUUUCUUUUUAAGUUUGUAGCUUUCUUAAAUAAAGGUUCUUCAAUAGUUUAUUUUGAAACCAAUAA